AGAGUUUGAUCCUGGCUCAGGAUGAACGCUGGCGGCGUGCCUAAUACAUGCAAGUCGAGCGAACGGACGAGAAGCUUGCUUCUCUGAUGUUAGCGGCGGACGGGUGAGUAACACGUGGAUAACCUACCUAUAAGACUGGGAUAACUUCGGGAAACCGGAGCUAAUACCGGAUAAUAUUUCGAACCGCAUGGUUCAAAAGUGAAAGACGGUCUUGCUGUCACUUAUAGAUGGAUCCGCGCUGCAUUAGCUAGUUGGUAAGGUAACGGCUUACCAAGGCAACGAUGCAUAGCCGACCUGAGAGGGUGAUCGGCCACACUGGAACUGAGACACGGUCCAGACUCCUAUGGGAGGCAGCAGUAGGGAAUCUUCCGCAAUGGGCGAAAGCCUGACGGAGCAACGCCGCGUGAGUGAUGAAGGUCUUCGGAUCGUAAAACUCUGUUAUUAGGGAAGAACAUAUGUGUAAGUAACUGUGCACAUCUUGACGGUACCUAAUCAGAAAGCCACGGCUAACUACGUGCCAGCAGCCGCGGUAAUACGUAGGUGGCAAGCGUUAUCCGGAAUUAUUGGGCGUAAAGCGCGCGUAGGCGGUUUUUUAAGUCUGAUGUGAAAGCCCACGGCUCAACCGUGGAGGGUCAUUGGAAACUGGAAAACUUGAGUGCAGAAGAGGAAAGUGGAAUUCCAUGUGUAGCGGUGAAAUGCGCAGAGAUAUGGAGGAACACCAGUGGCGAAGGCGACUUUCUGGUCUGUAACUGACGCUGAUGUGCGAAAGCGUGGGGAUCAAACAGGAUUAGAUACCCUGGUAGUCCACGCCGUAAACGAUGAGUGCUAAGUGUUAGGGGGUUUCCGCCCCUUAGUGCUGCAGCUAACGCAUUAAGCACUCCGCCUGGGGAGUACGACCGCAAGGUUGAAACUCAAAGGAAUUGACGGGGACCCGCACAAGCGGUGGAGCAUGUGGUUUAAUUCGAAGCAACGCGAAGAACCUUACCAAAUCUUGA
rnacentral:rRNA from 1 species